GGUCGAAGGGCAGAGGCAGCUGCGAGGUCCGGCUGCCCGUCCUAAUGGGGCCACUUCUUCUCCUCUCCACUGACCUGGCCUGGGAAUGGCCUCUCCCGCGCAAGAUUCGCCUGACACCCCACACCCGGUCAGGUUGCUCCUGGGAGGUUGGCGCGGUGAGAUCAGGUGUUGGAGAGGAGAGAGUGGCUGCCCCUGGCGAGGUGAAGGAUAAGCUCCCAUCUCUCUGGAGGCAUGACGUGGCCGACCCUCGUUCCCAGGUGACAUUUUAGGUUAUUGGGUCACAGAUUGCUGGCACACUCAUCCCUGUUCUCAAAUAUCUUUUAAACUUGGGUGAAGUGAUAAGUAGGGGAAGAUGAUUUACUGAAAGCAAUGCAGAGUCUCCCGAGAACAGAUUCAGACUGAACAGAUUUGUGUCAGACUUUGGGAGACCGCUGGUGCCCCAGAUGUUCUCUGGCAGGUCAAUGACGAAUCUAGGUCCAUCUUUCACUGCUACGUCAAUGAAGUGGGCCACUUCGACAAGGCCAAAGCUAGUAUCCCCACCAUAGCCCUUGACAGUGAUGUUCGGCUCCAGGAAGCCAUCAGAUGCAGCGGACGGCCAGAGGAGGAGCCGAACUUGCCCAUGAAAUGUGACAUCCCCAACUUCAUCAACACGGACCAGAACUCUUCCUUUGGGGAAGAUGAUCUGAUUUUCGAACCACCGAAUGUUCUAGAAAAUAAGCCAGUUGCCCAGACCCCACACAAAGACUUGAGUUGAGAAACGUGCUUUGUCAGGUGUCUUUUUGAAGAUAUGAAUUUUGUCUUUGUAUGGCAGGAAGUCCCGUUUCACAAAAUUGUAUGUGUUUUUCUCUGAGAGAGAGAAAUGGAGACAGACAGAAAGACGAAGAAGCAGAAGAGAGCGCCCUCAGAAGAGAGCUAGUUAAGCUCUUCUGAGAUCCUCCGGCCACCCUUGCUCCAACCUGAGGACAGACCUACCGUUCCUUUCCUAGGAGGAGGAUCAAUCCAUGGUGCAUUUUAUGACAAUCCUGUCCCCAGGAAUGCACGGAAGGUUAUCAGCUGAGUGAGGGGAAGUGCCUCUGUGUCUCUGUGUCCCUGUAUCUCUGUCUGCUCACAGUGCCCUGCCACCGGCUACUGAACAAGAAAAGUGCUAUUCACCAUGCUGUGUCUUUUGCAGAUGUGUAGGUGAUGGUCUUGUGGCUCAUGUGUGGGCUUUGUGCUGGGAUGGUGAAGGGCUUAUAAAUACCUCAUCAACAUGUAUUCGAGAUGGCCUGGUGCCACACAGACUUGAUUCAUGAAGGCAUCAAGCCUGCACACUGGUUUGGAAACAACUUGGUUUUGAUCAGUCACACUGCAUGCAUGACUCACUGCUGAUCUCUGGGUGUUUUUUUCAUUUUAGAUUUAUUCACCCAGUGUCUUGCUUAAGCUGAAAAAUACAUUUAUUUCACUAGAAUAUUCUCGGAUUCUUUGUUUCACACAUCCAGUUGUUUAAUUCUUUAAAAAUCAUUUUGUGUUUAUAAUGCCUCCUAAUUUCU